UCAAAGAUUAGGCCAUGCAUGUCUAAGUAUAAAUAAAUUUAUAUUGUGAAACUGCGAAUGGCUCAUUAAGUCAGUUAUGAUCUACGUGACAUUAUUUUACUACUUGGAUAACCGUGGUAAUUCUAGAGCUAAUACAUGCAAAAAAACCCUGACUUACGAAGGGGUGCACUUAUUAGAUAAAGCCAACGCGGGGUAAAACCUGUUUCCCUUGGUGAUUCAUAAUAACUUAACGAAUCGCAUGGCCUUGCGCCGGCGAUGGUUCAUUCAAAUUUCUUCCCUAUCAACUUUCGAUGUUUGGGUAUUGUCCAAACAUGGUGGCAACGGGUAACGGGGAAUUAGGGUUCGAUUCCGGAGAGGGAGCCUGAGAAACGGCUACUACAUCCAAGGAAGGCAGCAGGCGCGCAAAUUACCCAAUCCCGACACGGGGGGGUAGUGACAAUAAAUACUGAUACGGGGCUCUUUUGGGUCUCGUAAUUGGAAUGAGAACAAUUUAAAUCCCUUAACGAGGAACAAUUGGAGG
rnacentral:rRNA from 1 species